rnacentral:tRNA from 1 species
UCCUCGUUAGUAUAGUGGACAGUAUUUCCGCCUGUCCACGCGGAGAAGACCGGGUUCGAUUCCCGACGGGGAG